UACGUAGGGUGCGAGCGUUGUCCGGAAUUAUUGGGCGUAAAGGGCUCGUAGGCGGUUUGUCACGUCGGGGGUGAAAACUCGGGGCUUAACCCCGAGCCUGCUUCCGAUACGGGCAGACUAGAGGUAUGCAGGGGAGAACGGAAUUCCUGGUGUAGCGGUGAAAUGCGCAGAUAUCAGGAGGAACACCGGUGGCGAAGGCGGUUCUCUGGGCAUUACCUGACGCUGAGGAGCGAAAGUGUGGGGAGCGAACAGG
rnacentral:rRNA from 1 species